UGAGGGAAUAUUUGGGGUCAAUGGACGGGAGUCUGAACCAGCCAAGUAGCGUGCAGGAUGACGGCCCUAUGGGUUGUAAACUGCUUUUGUGCGGGGAUAAAGUGUGGGACGCGUCCCAUAUUGCAGGUACCGCAUGAAUAAGGACCGGCUAAUUCCGUGCCAGCAGCCGCGGUAAUACGGAAGGUCCGGGCGUUAUCCGGAUUUAUUGGGUUUAAAGGGAGCGUAGGCCGGAGAUUAAGCGUGUUGUGAAAUGCCGCGGCUCAACCGUGGCACUGCAGCGCGAACUGGUUUCUUGAGUGCGCGCGACGCAGG
rnacentral:rRNA from 1 species